AAACAACUAGUGAGGUUUUUGGAAGAAGAAGCCGAUGCUGGGUUCCAACUUCUACUGAAUCAAGGAAGCGCUUCGGGUAGCAGCAAAGGCUGUCGUUCUUGACUUACAGCCUGAGAUGAAGAUAAUGAAGGAAAUCAAGCUGAAAGGAACUCCUCUAAAAAUCAAGCAGAGGAAGUCUCUUAUCAAGUUUGAACCAGAAGAUGUUGAUGUUGUUGAAUUUAUAGGUUCACCUAUUUGGACUCAGAGUGGAAAUCGGGGGCAUGUUAACGAGGCGGCAAAGAGAGACGGA